GGAUUAGAUACCCUGGUAGUCCACGCCGUAAACGAUGUCUACUAGUUGUUGGGAGACUUGAUCUCUUAGUAACGAAGCUAACGCGAUAAGUAGACCGCCUGGGGAGUACGGCCGCAAGGUUAAAACUCAAAUGAAUUGACGGGGGCCCGCACAAGCGGUGGAGCAUGUGGUUUAAUUCGAAGCAACGCGCAGAACCUUACCUACGCUUGACAUGCCUGGACGACUCCGAGAGAUCGGUUUCUCCCUUCGGGGCCAGUGCACAGGUGCUGCAUGGCUGUCGUCAGCUCGUGCCG
rnacentral:rRNA from 1 species